UACGAAGGGUGCAAACGUUGCUCGGAAUUAUUGGGCGUAAAGCGCACGUAGGCGGCUUAGCAAGUCGGAAGUGAAAUCCCACGGCUCAACCAUGGAAGUGCUUUCGAAACUGCUGAGCUUGAGUACGAAAGAGGAUCGCGGAAUUCCCGGUGUAGAGGUGAAAUUCGUAGAUAUCGGGAGGAACACCAGUGGCGAAGGCGGCGAUCUGGGUCGAUACUGACGCUGAGGCGCGACAGCGUGGGGGAGCAAACAGG
rnacentral:rRNA from 1 species